rnacentral:rRNA from 1 species
UACGUAGGGGGCAAGCGUUUGUCCGGAAUCAUUGGGCGUAAAGAGCGCGUAGGCGGUCCGAUAAGUCGGUUGUGAAAACUGGGGGCUCAACCCUCAGAGGCCGACCGAUACUGUCGGGCUAGAGUCCGGAAGAGGCGAGUGGAAUUCCUGGUGUAGCGGUGAAAUGCGCAGAUAUCAGGAGGAACACCAAUGGCGAAGGCA